CCCCGUAACUUCGGGAGAAGGGGUGCUCUAUUAGGGUGCAAGCCCGAGAGAGCCGCAGUGAAUAGGCCCAGGCGACUGUUUAGCAAAAACACAGGUCUCUGCAAAACCGUAAGGUGACGUAUAGGGGCUGACGCCUGCCCGGUGCUGGAAGGUUAAGAGGAGUGCUUAGCUUCGGCGAAGGUACGAAUUGAAGCCCCAGUAAACGGCGGCCGUAACUAUAACGGUCCUAAGGUAGCGAAAUUCCUUGUCGGGUAAGUUCCGACCCGCACGAAAGGCGCAACGAUCUGGGCACUGUCUCAACGAGAGACUCGGUGAAAUUAUAGUACCUGUGAAGAUGCAGGUUACCCGCGACAGGACGGAAAGACCCCGUGGAGCUUUACUGCAACCUGAUAUGGA
rnacentral:rRNA from 1 species